UUUUUUAUAAUAAUAAUUUUUUUCAAAAAAAUUCAUGUUUAUCCUUGAAUCAUGGAAAUUGUGCUAAAGGUUGUCUGUAACAUUUUAUUUUGACUUUCAAAUACAUGAGUUUUUGUUAAUAUCAAAAAAUUAUAAUCUUUUUAUUAAAUAUUUUUAUUUUCAUACCUGUCCCUACAUUUAUUGAUUUGUUUACUGGAAUUUAUUAUUUAUGGUAAAAAAAUAAGUGGGUUUUCUUGUUAUAUUUUGGUACCGUGAAUGGGAUAGAUAGAUUUGAAAAAGGUGUCAUAAAAAAAAUAAUUGAAUUUCAAUAGUUAUGUCUGCUUAUGUCCACCACUUGAUUAACUUUCUGCUAUUGACAAUAUAUAUUUUUUAUUUCAAUUCGAUACUCUAGAUUUCUAAUUCAUUGAGAUUGCUAUUUUAUUUAUUAUCAGAGGUAAAGGUAAUGAUAAAAAUAAAUUCUAGUAAUGGUUUACUUUAAUGUUCCUAUUUACCCUGUGAUCUUGCAUAACAGAUGAGUUUAAUAUUCUUUCAGGGUUCUGUUACUGCAAGUGUGGGAAUCUGCCAGUUUUAUGGGGUCUCACAGUACUUGCCAUUGUUCUGGGUUGAUUUUUCUGCUAUUGCUCUCUGUUUCAAAUCUCUGCAUUCUGCGUUGCUUAAAUAGUGGACCAAUGUAAGAAUUUUCCUGGUGGUUUGGAACUGACCUUUUUUUUUUUUUAAGAAUUCCUUUUCUCCGUAAGCACGCAUCAUGAGGUCAGUUCGCCUUUGAUAAAUUCUGAUGUGGUGCAGGUCUGUUUGUUGGUGUAUAUAACAGGUUGUGGAGGCAUUGUAUCAUGGUUUUGUGAUGAAUGAAGAUGAAGGAACACAUGGGAAAUUGGAAGCUUAAUGAAGAGACCUUGAAGCAAUUUUGAGGAGGCUUAUGGAAAUAUGGUCACGUACCUAUGAAAGAUCAAGAUGUCAAAGCAUUGUGGAUUACUAGGCAACAGAAAGUUAAAGAAGCUUUUACUCAUGCGUUGUUGGGCUACAAAAAAUAUGCAAUGGGUUAUGAUGAACUUAUGCCGGUUAGCCAACAUGGAACCGAUAGAUUGGGGGGGAUUAGGGGCAACAGUAGUGGAUGCUCUUGAUACAGCUAUGAUAAUGGGUAUUGACGAAGUCGUUGCUGAAGUGGGAUCCUGGGUUGAAGAAAAUCUUUCAGAGAGAAUUAGCAAUAAAGGCCAAGUAAAUUUAUUUGCAAAUUGUAACCGUUCUUAAUUAGUUACACCAAUUAGUUAUUGUUUAAUAUAGACUUAACCAUUAGCCUGUAGGGAGAUAUGAACUUAAUGUUAUUGUUUAUUGUUCUGUUCUGCUAUGGAUAUUAGUAUUGUGUGUAUAUAAAUAAUUUUUUAUUAUUAUAAUUGGCUUAUCUAUUUUUUAUUUAUUUUGAUCCAUAACUACUGUCUUUAUCUUAUAAUAAUGCUU